AUGAAUUAUGCUUUAUUGUACUGGUCUAGCGUGGAUAUGCAGCUAGAGUCGACACAGAAGCCAGAGGAAUCAGCAAGCCCACUGGACACGACUACAGGUGAUAGCAGUGACACAACCGCUCCGAGUACAAGCAGUGCAUCUUACCUGCCGCAGAAUCCAGGGAUCCCAGCCGGCCCACUGAAUCUCCAACCAAACACCGCAUACGGGCCCAUGGGUAUGUAUACGAAUGGAAUUGCCGGUUGCGUGUUUCCGUACUACAGGAGCAGUCACUCUUUCACUGCUCUCCAAGCCAUGAUGACACAUCACCAAAUGGCGGAAGCAUGGAGAAAGACA